rnacentral:rRNA from 1 species
ACGUAGGUCACAAGCGUUGUCCGGAAUUACUGGGUGUAAAGGGAGCGCAGGCGGGAGAACAAGUUGGAUGUGAAAUCCAUGGGCUCAACCCAUGAACUGCUUUCAAAACUGUUUUUCUUGAGUAGUGCAGAGGUAGGCGGAAUUCCCGGUGUAGCGGUGGAAUGCGUAGAUAUCGGGAGGAACACCAGUGGCGAAGGCGGCCUACUGGGCACCAACUGACGCUGAGACUCGAAAGUGUGGGUAGCAAACAG